GUUCGCUCUGCCUUCGGGUGUACAUAUGAAAAAAUUGGAACGAUACAGAGAAGAUUAGCAUGGCCCCUGCGCAAGGAUGACACGCACAAUCGUGAAGCGUUUUUUUUUUGU